UUGCUCUUCAACGAGGAAUACCUAGUAAGCGUAAGUCACCAACUUGCGUUGAUUACGUCCCUGCCCUUUGUACACACCGCCCGUCGCUACUACCGAUUGAAUGGCUUGGUGAGAUCUCCGGAUUGGCGUUGGGGAGCCGGCAACGGCACCCCUUGGCCGAGAAGCUGAUCAAACCUGGUCAUUUAGAGGAAGUAAAAGUCGUAACAAGGUUUCCGUAGGUGAACCUGCGGAAGGAUCAUUAAAGAUUGGCCGAGAGGCCUCAUCUCUAUAUCCCUCAACCUCUGUGAACCGUGGACCCUCGGGUCUAUCUUACAAACAUCAGUGUAAUGAACGUAAUUAUCAUAACAAAAACAAAACUUUCAACAACGGAUCUCUUGGCUCUCGCAUCGAUGAAGAACGCAGCGAAAUGCGAUAAGUAAUGUGAAUUGCAGAAUUCAGUGAAUCAUCGAAUCUUUGAACGCACCUUGCGCCUCUUGGUAUUCCGAGAGGCAUGCCUGUUUGAGUGUCAUGAAAUCUCAAUCCCCUCGGGUUUUAGGACCCGGGUCGGACUUGGACAUGGGCGUCUGCCGGUUAAACGGCUCGCCUCAAAUGACUUAGUGGAUCUCUCAGCAUCCGUGACAGACGUAAUAAGUUUCGUCUUGUCCCUUGCAGAUGAGUCCGCUCACAACCUGCCAUCGCGCACUUUUAGACUCUGACCUCAAAUCAGGUAGGACUACCCGCUGAACUUAAGCAUAUCAAUAAGCGGAGGA
rnacentral:rRNA from 1 species